rnacentral:tRNA from 1 species
AAAAYYCGUCGACUUUAAAAAUCGUGAGGGUUCAAGUCCCUCUAUCCCCA